UGUUGAAAAUAUAUAUUAUUGUGAAUUGUUGUACUUUUGUUAUUGAGAAUAUGUGAAGUGUUUUUAACAGGUGUAAUUGAUGCCUAAUAACUAAGCUGGACUGUCCAAAAUUAAAGGGAAAUGAUGUCAUUUUUUUUAUAAAUAUUAUCAUACUAAUACAAAUGUGUUAAUUUUUAUUUGUUUUACUACAGAAAUACUUUGACUGGCAGGAG
rnacentral:misc_RNA from 1 species